rnacentral:misc_RNA from 1 species
GAUGAAGAACGUAGUGAAAUGCGAUACGUAAUGUGAAUUGCAGAAUUCAGUGAAUCAUCGAAUCUUUGAACGCACAUUGCGCCCCCUGGCAUUCCGGGGGGCAUGCCUGUCCGAGCGUCAUUUCUGCCCUCCAGCCCGGCUGGGUGUUGGGCGCUGUCCCCCCGGGGACACGCCCCAAAGGCAGUGGCGGCGCCGCGUCGGGUCCUCGAGCGUAUGGGGCUUUGUCACCCGCUCGGGACGGACUCGUCGGCGCUGGUCUUCCUCCAGGCGACCCUUCGGGGCUCGUCUUCCUUCGGUUGACCUCGGAUCAGGUAGGGUUACCCGCUGAACUUAAGCAUAUCAAUAAGCGGAGGA